rnacentral:snoRNA from 1 species
GGGGUGUGCUCAGAGCAGGGGGCCUGAAGAAUGGCUCUUCUGUUUACUACACACCCAACAGGAAUCUCAGGGUCACUGUGAUGAAGGACACAAAACUCGUGGCCUCCCUAUGAACAAAUGCCAUACAUGU